AAAAGGGAAAAUCCACCUGUGGA
rnacentral:piRNA from 1 species